UCUAGAUUACAUCGAGAGUAAGUGUCAAGUGUAACUAGAUCAAUUAAAAGUGUCAAGAUGCGCAUGACAGCUUUAUUCCAGAUUCUUGUCCUCUUCGUUGCAAUUUUGGGAUUGGCUUCAGCAUUCCAGCAUGGAACCCAUCAAAAAACUCACAAACGGGGUCGAUCAGGUAA